rnacentral:lncRNA from 1 species
GGAGUCACAACCGAACAUGAGCAGUUUGCGGCUGCGCCAGCCAUUCCUCCAGUGAAACGUUCUCGAACGCAGUCGAGCUCCGACUUCUCAACGUUCUUAAGUGUUGGACUGCCGAUCGGAGAUCGGAGGAAGAUGCCAGCGACUUCAGUCGAUGAUAGAUCAUCUGCAUGCCUUCGAACUCUUUUCAAUAUUCAGAUCUCCGAGUGUGAGUCAGCCUUGGCCAAUCCGACAUUAGCCAGACGGCUCAUCAAAGCUGCUCUUCUCUCGAC